UACGUAGGGGGGCUAGCGUUGUCCGGAAUCAUUGGGCGUAAAGCGCGUGUAGGCGGUCCGGUAAGUCUGCUGUGAAAGUCGGGGGCUCAACCCUCGAAUGCCGGUGGAUACUGUCGGGCUAGAGUGCGGAAGAGGCGAGUGGAAUUCCUGGUGUAGCGGUGAAAUGCGCAGAUAUCAGGAGGAACACCGAUGGCGAAGGCAGGUCUCUGGGCCAUAACUGACGCUGAGAAGCGAAAGCAUGGGGGAGCGAACAGG
rnacentral:rRNA from 1 species